rnacentral:rRNA from 1 species
AUUGAACGCUGGCGGCAGGCCUAACACAUGCAAGUCGAGCGGAGCGGCGGACGGGCGAGUAAUGCCUAGGAAUCUGCCUGGUAGCGGGGGAUAACGUCCGGAAACGUGUGCUAAUAUCGCAUACUAUUUGAUUAGCUUAGGUCGGAUUGGCUAGUUGGUGGGGUAAAGGCCUACCAAGGCGACGAUCCGUAACUGGUCUGAGAGGCUGAUCAGUCACACUGGAACUGAGACACGGUCGAGACUCCGACGGAAGGCAGCAGUGGGGAAUAUUGGGCAAUGGGCGAAAGCCUGAUCCAGCCAUGCCGCGUGUGUGAAGAAGGUCUUCGGAUUGUAAAGCACUUUAAGUUGGGAGGCGUUACCAACAGAAUAAGCACCGGCUAACUUCGUGCCAGCAGCCGCGGUAAUAC